GCGCCCGUAGCUCAGUUGGAUAGAGUACUUGGCUACGAACCAAGGGGUCGGCGAUUCGAAUUCGUCCGGGCGCACCA
rnacentral:tRNA from 2 species